UGGGCUAUAGCCAAGCGGUAAGGCAACGGACUUUGACUCCGUCACUCGUGGGUUCGAUUCCUACUGCCCCUGCCA
rnacentral:tRNA from 1 species